AACGAACGCUGGCGGCAGGCCUAACACAUGCAAGUCGAGCGGACCUUUCGGGGUCAGCGGCGGACGGGUGAGUAACGCGUGGGAAUAUGCCCUUCUCUACGGAAUAGUCCUGGGAAACUGGGGGUAAUACCGUAUACGCUCUUUGGGGGAAAGAUUUAUCGGGGAAGGAUUAGCCCGCGUUGGAUUAGGUAGUUGGUGGGGUAAUGGCCUACCAAGCCGACGAUCCAUAGCUGGUUUGAGAGGAUGAUCAGCCACACUGGGACUGAGACACGGCCCAGACUCCUACGGGAGGCAGCAGUGGGGAAUCUUAGACAAUGGGGGCAACCCUGAUCUAGCCAUGCCGCGUGAGUGAUGAAGGCCUUAGGGUUGUAAAGCUCUUUCAGCUGGGAAGAUAAUGACGGUACCAGCAGAAGAAGCCCCGGCUAACUCCGUG
rnacentral:rRNA from 1 species